CCUACGGGCGGCUGCAGUGAGGAAUAUUGGUCAAUGGGCGGAAGCCUGAACCAGCCAAGUAGCGUGCAGGAUGACGGCCCUACGGGUUGUAAACUGCUUUUAUACGGGAAUAACGCGCCUUACGUGUAGGGCUUUGCAUGUACCGUAUGAAUAAGGACCGGCUAAUUCCGUGCCAGCAGCCGCGGUAAUACGGAAGGGCCGGGCGUUAUCCGGUUUUAUUGGGUGUAAAGGGAGCGUAGGCGGCAUGUCAAGGUUGCUGUGAAAGGUCCGGGCCAAACCCGGGCCUUGCAGCGUGAACUGGCGUGCUUGAGUCCGCGGAAAGCAGGCGGAAUUCGUCGUGUAGCGGUGAAAUGCUUAGAUAUGACGAAGAACCCCGAUUGCGAAGGCAGCUUGCUGCAGCGGAACUGACGCUGAUGCUCGAAAGCGCGGGUAUCGAACAGGAUUAGAUACCCCAGUAGUC
rnacentral:rRNA from 1 species